GAUGAACGCUGGCGGUAUGCUUAACACAUGCAAGUCGAACGGACUCUUCGGAGUUAGUGGCGGAAGGGUGAGUAACGCGUGAGAAUCUAGCUUUGGGUUCGGGACAACCACUGGAAACGGUGGCUAAUACCGGAUGUGCCGAGAGGUAAAAGAGAAAUUGCCUGAAGAUGAGCUCGCGUCUGAUUAGCUAGUUGGUGAGGUAAAGGCUCACCAAGGCAGCGAUCAGUAGCUGGUCUGAGAGGAUGACCAGCCACACUGGGACUGAGACACGGCCCAGACUGCUACGGGAGGCAGCAGUGGGGAAUUUUCCGCAAUGGGCGAAAGCCUGACGGAGCAAUACCGCGUGAGGGAAGAAGGCUCUUGGGUUGUAAACCUCUUUUCUUAGGGAAGAACAAAAUGACGGUACCUAAGGAAUCAGCAUCGGCUAACUCCGUG
rnacentral:rRNA from 1 species